AGCCAUGCCCACUUCAUUUUAUACGAUUGAUGAAUCAAUUUUCUACUUGAUUUGAUUGGCCCUGCCGAAGACUUUUCGUGGUUUAAUAAAUGUCAGCAGAAAUUGUUGCUCCGAAGAUAUAAAAUAUAGCGUUUAAUCAGUGCUGCACCUUAUCGAUAAAAUAUACUACUUAAGCCCCCUUUACUUAAACAGGAUAACAACUGGAUUUAAACCGCGGAAAAUAAUGCUAAUAAUAAUAAGAAGAAUUCUUGUAGAUCCAUCAUAUCCUCCAUCUUUACUUACAAAAUAAAACGAUGUCUCCAACUGCUAAACGAUGGACUACAAGAAGAGCAUUAUCCGUCAGAAGUCGCAGCCGUUGCAUCAAGAGCAAAAAUUUGACUGCAGCUGUGAGAACUAUUCCCGAACGGAUCCAGUCCAGGAAUACCCCUCGGCUUAAGUUCCAUUGACAUCGCUAUAAAAACCAGCCUGUUUUUAAGCAUUUAUACUAAAGCUACUGCCCCACCAGAACAACCUCAACUGAUGCAGCCUCAAUGCAGCCCACGAAUGCAGUGGGGCUUCCGGCACAAUAAUAUCUGUCUCUCAUCGACUUUUGUUGUGAGGCCAAAGCAAGGCGAGCCAUGUACAAGGCAUACGAUGGCCUGGGACUGAUGAUGGGACUGAUCAUUGAGCCAUACAUCGCUGAAAUGGACGUGGGAACUGGAAUUCCUGGAAGGCACUGAAGUACCUCAGCCAGUUGGCCUAUCUGUGGGAUGUAUGGGCAUUGAGAAAAUACAAUUGCUACAAUCAGACAAGGGAUUAGGGGUAAGGUGGAGUACCUGGCCAGUAAGCAAAGGCAGAUCUUCGAGAACUAUUACAACGAUUUUAUUGAGCAACAAUGUAAAUAACGCUAUACACAAUAUAAAUUCCACUAGUUUCGAGCUACAAGCAUU